UGGCUCAGGAUGAACGCUAGCGGCAGGCCUAAUACAUGCAAGUCGAGCGGCGAGUGAGAAAGCAAUUCGAGACCUAGAGCGGCGUACGGGUGCGUAACGCGUAUGCAACCUACCUCAUACAGGGGGAUAGCCCGGAGAAAUCUGGAUUAAUACCCCAUGGUACAGCACGAGGGCAUCUGAGUGUUGUUAAAGAUUCAUCGGUAUGAGAUGGGCAUGCGUCUGAUUAGCUAGUUGGCGGUGUAACGGACCACCAAGGCGACGAUCAGUAGGGGUUCUGAGAGGAAGGUCCCCCACACUGGCACUGAGAUACGGGCCAGACUCCUACGGGAGGCAGCAGUAGGGAAUAUUGGGCAAUGGUCGGAAGACUGACCCAGCCAUGCCGCGUGCAGGAAGACGGCGUUCUGCGUUGUAAACUGCUUUUAUCUGGGAAGAAAAGGCCCAUGCGUGGGACAUUGCCGGUACCAGAUGAAUAAGCACCGGCUAACUCCGUGCCAGCAGCCGCGGUAAUACGGAGGGUGCAAGCGUUGUCCGGAUUUAUUGGGUUUAAAGGGUGCGUAGGCGGCUAUUUAAGUCAGCGGUGAAAGACUCCGGCUUAACCGGAGCAGUGCCAUUGAUACUGGAUAGCUUGAGUGUUGGAGGGGUACAUGGAAUUGAUGGUGUAGCGGUGAAAUGCAUAGAUACCAUCAGGAACACCGAUAGCGAAGGCAUUGUACUGGCCAACAACUGACGCUGAGGCACGAAAGUGUGGGGAUCGAACAGGAUUAGAUACCCUGGUAGUCCACACUGUAAACGAUGAUUACUCGCUGUUAUGCUGUAUAGUGUAGCGGCCAAGCGAAAGCGUUAAGUAAUCCACCUGGG
rnacentral:rRNA from 1 species